GACGUAGGGUGCGAGCGUUGUCCGGAUUUACUGGGCGUAAAGGGCGCGUAGGCGGUCAGCACAAGUCAGUUGUGAAAUCUCCGGGCUUAACUCGGAAAGGUCAACUGAUACUGUGCGACUAGAGUGCAGAAGGGCAACUGGAAUUCUCGGUGUAGCGGUGAAAUGCGUAGAUAUCGAGAGGAACACCUGCGGCGAAGGCGGGUUGCUGGGCUGACACUGACGCUGAGGCGCGAAAGCCAGGGGAGCGAACGGG
rnacentral:rRNA from 1 species